UCUAGAGUCUAGAGAAGAACAAACAAAAAGAGAAGAGAAAAAAGAAAAGGACAAAAAAGAGGAUAACAAAAGAAAGGAACAGGCACGGAUAGCGAUCGAAGAAGCCUGGGAUACCAUUCCUUUGGCACAAAUAAUAAGAGGUUACAUGUUAAUAACUCAAUCAAUUCUUCGAAAAUAUAUUCUAUUACCUGCAUUGAUAAUAGCCAAAAAUAUCGGGCGUAUGUUAUUCUUGCAACUUCCUGAAUGGUCUGAAGAUUUACAGGAAUGGAAUAGAGAAAUGCAGAUUAAAUGUACUUAUAAUGGUGUUCAAUUAUCAGAAACAGAAUUUCCCAAAAAUUGGUUAAGAGACGGGAUUCAGAUCAAAAUUUUAUUUCCUUUUUGUCUGAAACCUUGGCAUAUAUCUAAACUGUACCCCUCCCGCAGAGAGCUAAUGAAAAAGCAAAAACAAAAAGAUGAUUUUUGUUUUUUAACAGUUUGGGGAAUGGAAGCUGAACUUCCCUUUGGUUCUCCCCGAAAGCGACCUUCAUUUUUUGAGCCCAUUUUUAAGGAACUCGAAAAAAAAAUUGGAAAAUUCAAAAAGAAAUAUUUUCUAACUCUAAAAAUUUUAAAAGGAAAAACAAAAUUAUUUAGAAGAGUUUCAAAAGAAACCACAAAAUUGUUUAUCAAAAGUAUUGGAUUUCUAAAAAAAAUAAAAAAAGAACUUUCAAAAGUAAAUCUAAUUGUAUUAUUUAGAUUCAAAGAAAUAUCUGAAUCCAAUGAAACAAAAAAAGAAAAAGAUUAUCUAAUUAGUAAUCAAAUAAUUAACGAAUCAUUUCGUCAAAUUGAAUCUGGAAAUUGGCCAAAUUCUUCACUGAUAGAAACAAAAAUGAAGGAUUUGACUGAUAGAACAAGUACAAUCAAAAAUAAAAUAGAAAGAAUUACAAAAGAGAAAAAGAAAGUAACUCCAGAAAUAGACAUUAAUCCUAAUAAAACAAAUAAUAUUAAAAAAUUCGAAUCGCCAAAAAAAAUUUUCCAAAUAUUAAAAAGCAGAAAUACUCGAGUAAUAUGGAAAUUCCAUUAUUUUCUAAAAUUAUUCAUUCAAAGAUUAUACAUCAAUUUAUUUUUAUCUAUCAUUAAUAUUCCUAGAAUUACUACACAACUCUUUCUUAAAUCAACAAACAAAUUGAUUGAGAAAUUCAUCUCCAAUAAUGAAAUAAAUCAAGAAAAAAUUAAUAAUAAAAAAAAAUUCACUUUAUGUUUAUUUCGACUAUAAAAAAGUCACUUUAUAAUAUUAGUAAGAAAAAUUCACAUAUUUUGUGUGAUUUAUCCUACUUGUCACAAGCAUAUGUAUUUUACAAAUUAUCACAAACCCAAGUUAUUAAUUUUUCUAAAUUUAGAUCUGUUCUUCAAUAUAACACAACGUCUUGUUUCCUUAAGACUAAAAUAAAGGACUAUUUUAAAACACUAGGAAUAUUUCAUUCGGAAUUAAAAGAUAAGAAACUUCAGAGUUAUAGAAUAAAUCAAUGGAAAAACUGGUUAAGAUGGCAUUAUCAAUACGAUUUAUCUCAGAUUAGAUGGUCUAGAUUAAUGCCAAAAAAAUGGCGAACUAGGGUUAAUCAAAGUUGUAUGGCUCAAAAUAAAAAUAGAAACUUAAACAAAUGGAAUUCAUAUGAAAAAGACCAAUUACUUCAUUACAAAAAAGAAAAUGAUUCGGAACUCUAUUCAUUAUCAAACGAAAAAGAUAAUUUUAAAAAAUGUUAUGGAUAUGGUCUUUUAGCAUAUAAAUCGAUUAAUUAUGAAAAUAAAAGUGACUCAUUUUUUUCUAGAUUACCCUUUGAAGUUCAAGUAAAGAAGAACUUAGAAAUUUCGUAUAAUUCCAACACGUCCAAACACAACUUUGUUGAUAUGCCCGGCAAUCUUCAUAUCAAUAAUUAUCUAAGAAAGGGCAAUAUUCUAGAUAGAGAAAGAAAUCUCGAUAGAAAAUAUUUUGAUUGGAAAAUUAUCCAUUUUUCUCUUAGACAAAAAGGAGAUAUUGAAGCCUGGGUUAAGAUCGAUACCAACAGUAAUCCAAAUACUAAAAUUGGUAUUAAUAAUUAUCAAAUAAUUGAUAAAAUUGAGAAAAAGGGGGUUUUUUAUCUUACAACUCAUCAACAUCCAGAAAAAACUCAAAAAAAUUCGAAAAAAGUCUUUUUUGAUUGGAUGGGAAUGAAUGAAAAAAUAUUUAAUCGUCCCAUAUUGAAUCUGGAAUUUUGGUUCUUCCCAGAAUUUGUACUACUUUAUAAUGUCUAUAAAAUAAAACCGUGGAUUAUACCAAGCAAAUUCCUUCUUUUUAAUUUGAAUACAAAUAAAAAUGUUAGUCAAAAUAAAAACCAAAACUUUUUUCUACCAUCAAAUAAAAAAAUAAAAAUAAAGAAUCGAAGUCAAGAAGCAAAAGAACCCCCAAGUCAAAGAGAGCGUGGAUCAGAUAUAGAAAACAAAGGAAAUCUGAGCCCUGUUUUUUCAAAACAUCAAACCGAUCUUGAAAAAGAUUACGUGGAAUCAGACACAAAAAAGGGUAAAAAUAAAAAACAAUACAAAAGCAACACGGAAGCAGAACUAGAUUUGUUCUUGAAACGUUAUUUGCUUUUUCAAUUGAGAUGGAACGGUGCUUUGAAUCAAAGAAUGUUCGAAAAUAUCAAGGUAUAUUGUCUCCUGCUUCGACUGAUAAAUCCAACCAAAAUUACUAUAUCGUCAAUUCAAAGGAGAGAAAUGAGUUUGGAUAUAAUGCUGAUUCAGGCAAAUUUACCUCUUACAGACUUGAUGAAGAAGGGGGUAUUGAUUAUCGAACCUAUUCGGUUGUCUGUAAAAGAUAAUGGACAAUUUAUUAUGUAUCAAACCAUAGGUAUUUCAUUGGUUCAUAAAAGUAAACACCAAACUAAUCAAAGAUACCGAGAACAAAGAUAUGUUGAUAAAAAGAAUUUUGACGAAUUCAUUCUGCAACCUCAAACUCAAAGAAUAAAUACAGAAAAAACUCAUUUUGGUUUGCUUGUUCCUGAAAAUAUUUUAUGGUCUAGACGUCGUAGAGAGUUGAGAAUUCGAAGUUUUUUUAAUUCUUGGAAUUGGAAUGUCGUCGAUAGAAAUUCAGUAUUUUGCAACGAAACCAAUGUAAAAAACUGGAGUCAAUUUUUGGGUGAACGGAAACCCCUUUAUAAAGAUAAAAAUGAAUUAAUUAAAUUUAAGUUCUUUUUUUGGCCUAAUUAUCGAUUAGAAGAUUUAGCUUGUAUGAAUCGUUAUUGGUUUGAUACCAAUAAUGGUAGCCGUUUCAGUAUCUUAAGGAUACAUAUGUAUCCACGAUUGAAAAUUAAUUGAUAGUACUAUAUACCCUGUCUCGUAUAGAGUAUCUGAAAGCAAAUAAAUGCAAACAUGCCUUGUUUUACAUCUCAUUCGAAUCUAAUUCGAGUAGACAAUACUAAAUCAAUAAAAUAAGGUAUUGAUUAGAUCUAGAAAUGAAUCAACAGAAUCUUCUUCAUUUUAGGAUUUUAGGUUUCAAUUAUUCGCUUUUGUGAUUAAAAAAAACGUACCUACCGUCUUUUUGGAUUCCUAUCUGAAUCAAAUUUGAAAUUUGAUUAAUUUAUUGGAAUUGCUAAAAUUAGAGGUUCAUAAAGAAAUUAAGUCUAUAUACCACGUUUAAAUUACUGGCAUUAUUAUUACUGAUCAAUAAAAUUCGAAAAAAUCCAUAUCUGUAAAAUAAAGAAAGGGGAAAUUCAUUUAUGGUAAAAAAUUCUGUCAUUUCAGUUAUUUCUCAAGAAGAAAAGAAAGGAUCUGUUGAAUUUCAAGUAUUCAAUUUCACCAAUAAGAUACGAAGACUUACUUCACAUUUAGAAUUGCACAAAAAAGACUAUUUAUCUCAGAGAGGUUUGAAGAAAAUUUUGGGAAAACGUCAACGACUGCUAGCUUAUUUGGCAAAAAAAAAUAGAGUACGUUAUAAAGAAUUAAUUAAUCGGUUGGACAUUCGAGAGACAAAAACUCGUUAAUUUGAUUAAUUUGAAGAGUUAUUUCAUUUUCACUUAUAUGUUUCGAUUAAAUUUUGAUGAACUUCUUUUCACUUUCAGUAAUUCAUGGAAGAAUGAAUCGUUAAAAAACUUAUGACUGCACCAACUACAAGAAAAGACCUCAUGAUAGUCAAUAUGGGGCCUCAGCACCCAUCAAUGCACGGUGUUCUUCGACUCAUCGUUACUCUAGAUGGUGAAGAUGUUGUCGACUGCGAACCAAUAUUGGGUUAUUUACAUAGAGGGAUGGAGAAAAUUGCGGAAAACCGAACAAUUAUACAAUAUUUGCCUUAUGUAACACGUUGGGAUUAUUUAGCUACUAUGUUCACAGAAGCAAUAACCAUAAAUGGACCCGAACAAUUAGGCAAUAUUCAAGUACCUAAAAGGGCUAGCUAUAUCAGAGUCAUUAUGUUGGAGUUGAGUCGGAUAGCUUCUCAUUUGUUAUGGCUCGGUCCUUUUAUGGCGGAUAUUGGUGCACAGACCCCUUUCUUCUAUAUUUUUAGAGAAAGAGAAUUGAUAUAUGACCUAUUCGAAGCUGCCACCGGUAUGCGAAUGAUGCAUAAUUAUUUUAGGAUUGGAGGAGUGGCUGCCGAUCUACCCUAUGGCUGGAUAGAUAAAUGUUUGGAUUUUUGCGAUUAUUUUUUAACAGGGGUUGCUGAGUAUCAAAAACUUAUUACUCGGAAUCCUAUUUUUUUAGAACGAGUUGAAGGCGUAGGCAUUAUUGGGAGAGACGAGGCAUUAAAUUGGGGUUUAUCGGGACCAAUGCUACGAGCUUCCGGAAUAGAAUGGGAUCUUCGUAAAGUUGAUCAUUAUGAGUCUUACGACGAAUUUGAUUGGCAGGUUCAAUGGCAACGAGAAGGGGAUUCAUUAGCUCGUUAUUUAGUACGAAUCGGUGAAAUGACAGAAUCCAUAAAGAUUAUUCAACAGGCUCUGGAAGGAAUUCCAGGGGGGCCUUACGAAAAUUUAGAAAUGCGACGUUUUGACAGAUUAAAAGAUCCUGAAUGGAAUGAUUUUGAAUAUCGGUUUAUUAGUAAAAAGCCUUCUCCAACUUUUGAAUUGUCGAAACAAGAACUUUAUGUGAGAGUUGAAGCCCCAAAAGGAGAAUUGGGGAUUUUUCUGAUAGGAGAUCAGAGCGUUUUUCCUUGGAGAUGGAAAAUUCGCCCACCAGGUUUUAUCAAUUUGCAAAUUCUUCCUCAGUUAGUUAAAAGAAUGAAAUUGGCUGAUAUUAUGACAAUACUAGGUAGCAUAGAUAUCAUUAUGGGAGAAGUUGAUCGUUGAAAUGAUAAUUGAUACAACAGAAAUAGAGACUAUCAAUUCUUUUUCCAAAUUGGAAUCCUUAAAAGAAGUCUAUGGGAUCAUAUGGAUGCUUGUCCCUAUUGUGACUCUUGUAUUAGGAAUCACAAUAGGUGUACUAGUAAUUGUUUGGUUAGAAAGAGAAAUAUCUGCAGGAAUACAACAACGUAUUGGGCCUGAAUAUGCCGGCCCGUUAGGAAUUCUUCAAGCUCUAGCAGAUGGGACAAAACUACUUUUGAAAGAGAACCUUAUUCCAUCUACAGGAGAUACUCGUUUAUUCAGUAUCGGACCAUCCAUAGCAGUAAUAUCUAUCUUUCUAAGUUAUUCAGUAAUUCCUUUUGGUGAUCACCUUGUUCUAGCCGAUCUUAGUAUUGGUGUUUUUUUUUUGGAUUGCCAUUUCAAGUAUUGCUCCCGUUGGACUUCUUAUGUCGGGGUAUGGAUCAAAUAAUAAAUAUUCCUUUUUAGGUGGUCUACGGGCAGCUGCUCAAUCAAUUAGUUAUGAAAUACCAUUAGCUCUAUGUGUGUUAUCAAUAUCUCUACGUGUGAUUCGGUGAGACCUAAAAUUUAUCCAAAUUCUUUUCUUUCUAGAAACAAGGAUAAAAAGAUUUGAUUGAUUAUAUAUAUUUUUUUCUUCAGCAUUUGAGUUGAUGAACUAAAUCAGAUAGUUAUAUGAGUGAAAGAAAACGGCUUCUAAAUUUGCAGUAAAAAAGUUGAGUCUCAUUUCCUAUGUACAAGAAUCAAAUGGUGAAAAAAGUAAACAUAAGCAAGAGAGAUUGUUUACCCCAAGAUUCGUGAAUUGUCAUGAUAGCUUGAAGCGGGUUCAAAAGACCAACUCUAUGGAGUUUUUACUGUCUAUUACCAUAGAUGGAUUUCCACAACGGGAGGUUUUUGAAACAAAAAAUGAGUGGAUGGUUAGGAAGACUAAGAUACACAAAGGAUUAGUAAUUGAGAUUAUGUAAGUUAUCCAAGAGGAUAUUUCUGUACAUAAAAGGAAUUCAAAUUGGGGCUUUACGUUCGUAGAAAUGAUCAAGAAGUACUCCCCAUGAUUCUGAUCCAGAGUAUGUUCCUAUCCACUGAGUAAGUAACUAACUAUCAAGAACGAAGUAAUCUUUUACUUUGGUUAAAGACCCUUUUUCUGAGAAAGGAGAAUAGGAAUGAAAUAAAAAAAUCGAAAUAGAAAGAAAAGAAGCUAAUUGCAAAAGGAAAAAGGAGGGAUGUCUUUUUUUGUUUUUAUUCUUUCUUUCCUAUAAUUCAAUUUUUAUUUCUAUUUAGAGAGAUAAAAUUUUUGUCAUGAUUCAUGAACUAAUGUACUCUCUAAUUUUUUUCGUAAUUGAAAAUUCGAGGUUGAAAUGUAUAUGUGAUAUUGCUAUAAAGCACAUUUUUUUAUUUAAUGAUAAGGUUAUUAAUCAACAAAGAAAAAUUAAAAUUCUUAAAAGAUGAGAUAAAUUCAGAAGCACUUAUUUAUUAGUUUUAAAUAUAGCAGACAGAAUUCCAUUGGUCUAAUUUGGGACCUUAGAAUAGAUUUUGACUCUAUCUGACAAACAUAUCAAGAUAAAGAAUAGGAAAGGGCCCUUAGAUUUAGUUGUGACCUCUGAGGAGCCGUAUGAGGUGAAAAUCUCACGUACGGUUCUGUAAUAGCGAUGGGCACAGUGAUGUUAUCAUCGACUAUGAUUAUCUAACAGUUUAAGUACAGUUGAUAUAGUGGAAGCGCAGUCAAAAUAUGGUUUUUGGGGGUGGAAUUUGUGGCGUCAACCCAUCGGGUUUAUCGUUUUUCUAAUUUCUUCUCUCGCCGAGUGUGAAAGAUUACCUUUUGAUUUACCAGAAGCAGAAGAAGAAUUAGUAGCAGGGUAUCAAACCGAAUAUUCUGGUAUCAAAUUUGGUUUAUUUUACAUUGCUUCAUAUCUGAAUCUACUAGUUUCUUCAUUAUUUGUAACAGUUCUUUACUUGGGAGGUUGGAAUCUUUCUAUUCCGUACAUAUUUGUUCCUGAUAUAUUUGGCAUAAAUAAAGGAGGUAAAGUCUUUGGAACACUAAUUGGUAUCUUUAUCACAUUAGCCAAAACUUAUUUGUUUUUGUUCAUUCCCAUUGCAACAAGAUGGACUUUACCGAGGCUGAGAAUGGACCAACUAUUAAAUCUUGGGUGGAAAUUUCUUUUACCGAUUUCUCUAGGUAAUCUAUUAUUGACAACCUCGUCCCAACUUCUUUCACUGUAAAAGACCACAAUAUCCUAGAUUCACGACUUGUCUCAAACAAGAGAAAGAAACAAGCAUAAAAUCUUUUUUAUAGAUAUUCAACAUAUGCUCCCUAUGAUAACUGAAUUCAUAAAUUAUGGUCAACAAACAAUACGAGCCGCCAGAUAUAUCGGCCAAGGUUUCAUGAUUACCCUGUCCCACGCAAAUCGUUUACCUGUAACUAUUCAAUACCCCUACGAAAAAUUGAUCACAUCGGAACGUUUCCGAGGCCGAAUACACUUUGAAUUUGAUAAAUGCAUUGCUUGUGAAGUAUGUGUGCGUGUAUGUCCUAUAGAUUUACCCGUUGUUGAUUGGAAGUUGGAAACUGAUAUUCGAAAGAAACGAUUGCUUAAUUACAGUAUUGAUUUUGGAAUCUGUAUAUUUUGUGGUAAUUGCGUUGAGUAUUGCCCAACAAAUUGUUUAUCAAUGACCGAAGAAUAUGAACUUUCUACUUAUGAUCGUCACGAAUUGAAUUAUAAUCAAAUCGCUUUGGGUCGCUUACCAAUGUCAGUAAUUGAUGAUUACACAAUUCGAACAAUUUCGAAUUUACCUCAAAUAAACAAUGAAUAAACCCUUAAUUUGAUUCAAAAAAAUUACAAAUUACGAAGGCUUAGUUCGGAUCUAAAACAAUGAGAUUUUUGCUUGGGCAAUUCAAACUAGUGGUUUCUUAAUGAGACUCCUAGCUUAAGCUUAAUUUAGAUUGAAAACAAAACCGAGUUCAAUAUUAUAUAUUAUAAUAGUAAUGGUUUCAAAGUAGAUAAAUGAUAUCAAAAAUAGAUAGGUUUAAACUCCUCUUUCGACGAAUAAAGAAUGGAUAGUGGUCCAAUAAAAUAAAAGCAUCUACGUCAAUUCAUACCCAUUAGACUUUCAUUCAAUUAACAAUUUCAAAGUAUCAUAAAAAAUAGAAAAACUGCUUUUUUCCUGGUCAGGUCAAUAAAGUCAUGAAAUUCUUCGUUUUUGAUUUUUUAUAAAAAAUGGAUUUAUCUGAACCAAUACAUGAUUUUCUUUUAGUCUUUCUAGGAUCGGGUCUUAUAUUAGGGGGUCUAGGAGUGGUAUUACUUCCCAAUCCAAUUUAUUCGGCCUUUUCCUUGGGAUUGGUUCUUGUUUGUACAUCGUUAUUCUAUAUUCUAUCUAACGCCUAUUUUGUAGCUGCUGCGCAGCUACUUAUUUACGUAGGAGCUAUAAAUGUUUUAAUCAUUUUUGCUGUGAUGUUCAUGAAUGGCUCAGAAUAUUACAAGGAUUUUCAUCUUUGGACCGUAGGAGAUGGAAUUACUUCGAUGGUUUGUAUAAGUCUUUUUAUUUCACUAAUUACUACUAUUUCAGAUACGUCAUGGUACGGGAUUAUUUGGACUACAAGAUCAAACCAGAUUAUAGAGCAAGAUUUUCUAAGUAAUAGUCAACAAAUUGGAAUUCAUUUAUCAACAGAUUUUUUUCUCCCAUUUGAACUUAUUUCCAUAAUCCUUUUAGUUGCUUUAAUAGGUGCAAUUGCUGUAGCUCGUCAAUAAAAAAUUUCUAUUAAAACUUGGAAUUCAAAUAAAAUUUUGUUCUGUCUUAUCACAUUAAUUUUCCUUCAAUUCUAUUUGAAUUCUAGCUGGAUAAAUAGAAAGACUUUAGGUCAAUCUAGUAACAAUAUAUUUCUUUGUUCCAUACUUGUUAUAUACUAGUCAAUUAAGUUAGUUGAAUUGUUGUUCAUAUUGAAAGGAGUCGGGAUUGAUAAGGAGUUGUUUAAUGAUUCUCGAACAUGUACUUGUUUUGAGUGCCUAUUUAUUUUCCAUCGGUAUCUAUGGAUUGAUCACAAGUCGAAAUAUGGUUAGAGCCCUUAUGUGUCUUGAACUUAUAUUGAAUGCAGUUAAUAUCAAUUUUGUAACAUUUUCUGAUUUUUUUGAUAAUCGUCAAUUAAAGGGAGACAUUUUCUCAAUUUUUGUUAUAGCUAUUGCAGCCGCUGAAGCAGCCAUUGGCCUGGCUAUUGUUUCAUCAAUUUACCGUAACAGAAAAUCAACUCGUAUCAACCAAUCAAAUUUGUUGAAUAAUUAAUAUUAAUCAUCUAGAUUCUAAUAUUGAGAAAUCUAUUUUAAUUAGCAUGUUUACUACGUAAAGUAUGAUCUUGUUUGCAAAACAUAAGAAAUCAAAGUAUUUUGGCCUCUCUCAUAUCUCAUAAACCAAUCCAGAAAGGGGUUGAUUAGAAAAUUAUGAUAACUCAUUGAUUCAUCUGGUAUCUAAAUAUACGAUUCGUUUCUAAGUUUACUAGAUCGAAAAUUUAGAACAUUCAAAAACGUAUAGGCCCAAUGUCACAUUCAGUAAAGAUUUAUGAUACGUGUAUAGGAUGUACUCAAUGUGUCCGAGCCUGCCCCACUGAUGUAUUAGAAAUGAUACCUUGGGACGGUUGUAAGGCUAAACAAAUUGCUUCUGCUCCACGAACAGAGGACUGUGUUGGUUGUAAGAGAUGUGAAUCCGCCUGUCCAACAGAUUUCUUGAGUGUCCGAGUUUAUUUAUGGCAUGAAACAACUCGCAGUAUGGGUCUAGCUUAUUGAUACGUUCGAGAAAACUCUACUUGAAUCCAUUUAAUUUUUUUACCGACAAACCUGUGCUCGAAAAUAAAAAUAUUUUGAGCACGGGUUUUUUUGGUCCAAGUGUAUCUUGUCUUUACUACGAAUUAUUUUCCUUGGUUAACAAUAAUUGUCGUUUUUCCGAUAUUUGCGGGUUCUUUAAUUUUCUUUCUUCCCCAUAAAGGAAAUAGGGUAAUUAGGUGGUAUACAAUAUGUAUAUGUAUUUUAGAACUCCUUCUAACAACUUAUGCAUUUUGUUAUCAUUUCCAAUCGGAUGAUCCAUUAAUCCAACUAGUAGAGGAUUAUAAAUGGAUCGAUUUUUUUGAUUUCCAUUGGAGAUUAGGAAUAGAUGGACUUUCUAUAGGACCCAUUUUAUUAACAGGAUUUAUCACUACUUUAGCGACUUUAGCGGCUUGGCCAGUUACUCGAGAUUCUAGAUUAUUCCAUUUUCUCAUGUUAGCAAUGUACAGUGGUCAAAUUGGAUUAUUUUCGUCUCGGGACCUUUUACUUUUUUUCAUCAUGUGGGAGUUAGAAUUAAUUCCUGUUUAUCUACUUCUAGCCAUGUGGGGAGGAAAGAAACGUCUGUACUCAGCUACAAAAUUUAUUUUGUACACGGCGGGGGGUUCCGUUUUUCUCUUAAUGGGAGUUUUGGGUGUUGCUUUAUAUGGUUCUAAUGAACCAACAUUAAAUUUUGAAACAUCAGUUAAUCAGUCAUAUCCUGUGGUUUUAGAAAUAAUCUUCUAUAUUGGAUUUUUUAUUGCUUUUGCUGUCAAAUCGCCCAUUAUCCCCCUACACACAUGGUUACCAGAUACCCAUGGAGAAGCACAUUACAGUACUUGUAUGCUUCUAGCCGGAAUCUUAUUAAAAAUGGGAGCGUAUGGAUUAAUUCGAAUCAAUAUGGAAUUAUUACCUCAUGCCCAUUCUAUAUUUUCUCCUUGGUUGAUGAUAAUAGGUACAAUACAAAUAAUCUAUGCAGCUUCAACAUCUCUUGGCCAACGGAAUUUAAAAAAAAGAAUAGCCUAUUCCUCUGUCUCUCAUAUGGGUUUCAUAAUUAUAGGAAUUAGUUCUCUAACCGAUACGGGACUAAAUGGAGCCCUUUUACAAAUAAUCUCUCAUGGAUUUAUUGGUGCUGCACUUUUUUUCUUGGCGGGAACGACUUAUGAUAGAAUCCGCCUUGUUUAUCUUGACGAAAUGGGCGGAAUAGCUAUUCCAAUGCCAAAAAUGUUCACGAUGUUCAGUAGCUUUUCGAUGGCUUCCCUUGCAUUACCAGGUAUGAGUGGUUUUGUUGCCGAAUUGAUAGUAUUUUUUGGAAUAAUUACCGGCCAAAAAUAUCUUUUAAUGCCAAAACUACUAAUUACUUUUGUAAUGGCAAUUGGAAUUAUAUUAACUCCUAUUUAUUCAUUAUCUAUGCCACGCCAGAUGUUCUAUGGAUACAAGUUAUUUAACGCCCCGAAGGAUUCUUUUUUUGAUUCUGGACCGCGAGAGUUAUUUCUUUCGAUCUCCAUCUUUUUACCCGUAAUAGGUAUUGGUAUAUACCCCGAUUUCGUUCUUUCAUUAGCAGUUGACAAGGUCGAAGUUAUUCUAUCUAAUUUUUUUAUAGAUAAUUGGAUGACUGAAAUAAAAAAACCUAUGUUUGUUUUUAAAAACAUUCUUGGACAAUGAAAAAAAGUCUUCUUUUUUUCUUCUCUUUUAACUUAAGAAUUAAGUAAAAACAAUGAAAUUGAACUACAUAUGGUAGAAAACCGUGUGAAUCAUCAAUACAAUAUUUGAUUCACACGGUCCGCAUGCUGGUUCAUACAAUGCGUCGCCCGCUCUUGUAUUUGUAAUAACUUGUCUUGAAUUCAAUUAAAUGUUGAUGGAAAAGAACCAUAACUAUGUAACCCUAUUCCUAAUAGAUUGACCCCAAAAUAGCAUAUCCAAAUUAUAAGAAAACCUAUCGACGCUACAAUUGCAGAAUUUGGACCCCGCAAAUUUCUAUUUGUUCGAGUAUGUAAAUAAAUGGCAAAUACGAUCCAAGUAAUAAAUGCCCAAGUUUCUUUUGGAUCCCAAUUCCAAUAGGAACCCCACGCUUCAUUAGCCCAUACCGCUCCCGAAAGGAUUCCUAUGGUUAAAAAAGUAAAUCCUAAACUAAUAACCCGAUAACUCCAAUAAUCCAAUUGUUGAAUCAAUUGGGACCUGUAAUAAUUUUUAGCACAAAAAAACGAAGUAUUUUCGACAACAUUUUCACCCAAGAAAAAUGACUCGUUUAAAAAAACAUUGCUCUUAGAAAAAAGCUUUCUGUUUUUUCGAAAUGUAAUCACUAGAAGUGCUACUGAUAAUAACGAUCCACAUAAAAGGGCUGCAUAGCCCAAUAUCAUCAUACUUACGUGCAUUAUUAACCACUCAGAUUGAAGAGCAGGUACUAAGAUUCCAGAUUGGUGUAUUU
rnacentral:lncRNA from 1 species